rnacentral:rRNA from 1 species
UACGUAGGUGGCAAGCGUUGUCCGGAAUUAUUGGGCGUAAAGCGCGCGCAGGCGGUCCUUUAAGUCUGAUGUGAAAGCCCACGGCUCAACCGUGGAGGGUCAUUGGAAACUGGGGGACUUGAGUACAGAAGAGGAAAGCGGAAUUCCACGUGUAGCGGUGAAAUGCGUAGAGAUGUGGAGGAACACCAGUGGCGAAGGCGGCCUGCUGGGCAGUGGCUGACGCUGAGGCGCGACAGCGUGGGGAGCAAACAGG